UUAUAUAAGAAGGAGGAAACAAUGGAGUUUGAGACUCACUGUAUGUCAUUUCCAUGUACUGAACUCUUGUUGUUUAACUAUGCCGAGGUAAAUUCAAUUUUUGAAUCUAGGGCACCUUUAAAGCCCGGGACACAUCAAGCUGAUGGUCGGCCAUAGGGAAAUGUUGAGCUGUUUUUGAGAGUCAGUCGGCUUAGUUUUUUCUGUGAGUUAUGCACCGGUGGCUCUCAUCAGAUGCUCAAAUCAAAUCAUGACGAGAAGUAAAUGGAACUGACCAUAGCAAACGUCAAAGUAAAGAGGAAAACGCACUACAGACAGUUGUCAUUAUUGUCAUUUCAUCUCAUUUGAGCAGUGGAUUAUGUAAGGAAUAACUGACAAUGGCCCGUUGAAUUAUUAGAAAAUAACGCACACCCGAGGUGGUAAUAAGGCUGUGAUGCGAAGCAUUAUUAUAUUCUAACAAUUCAACGGCCCAGAGUUAGUUAUUCUGUUUGUCAGGUUUUUGUCCUUAAAACACUCUUGUGUGUGUGACUAAUUUCUUGUUCAUCUCAUCCUAAGCCUCUGUUGCAAAUUCCAAAAUGUCAUUUCAGAGCUAGUUACAGAGGUUUUUAGUAACACUUCGGCAGCAGCAUCUCUACUAAUAGCGAAACAGUAAGUUUAUCUACCCUCAAGAACUGCACCAUUAUUACCUUGCUGGGGAGAAGUGUCAUCUGUGCAUAUGCAUAAUAAAAUGUAUUUUGUGGCAAAAACCAUGACAAUACUUUGUUGUUUUUAUCCUGUUGUUUACUAUAUUUAUUUGCUUGGUUGGUUGGUUGGUGUCGUUUAGUUUUUUUUCGCGGUUGUAGGCUGUAAGGUCCUUUUGAAAUAACUGAAUUCAUUUGGUGAAGUGAUAUGGAACUGUAACGUGGUCAAGACCUGCCUAUUACUACUUUGGCUGUGCGUUUGCCAGGAAAUGAUUGCACGCCUUAGAACGUUUGUGAACCAAUCAGGUUCGAGCAUUUAACAGCCCCAUAGUAUAAUUUAAUAAUAACCAAGAGCUGACAUGCCAGUGACAAAUUGGCAGACAUAAUGGAAAAAGCUAUACAAUUCUGUUAAGAGUGAGACUGGUGUAAACAAUAGUAAAGGCAAGCGCUGUUUGCUUUUCAACAACACAUAUCUAAUGAGGGAAAACUGGUCAAGAAAAACAGUAGUCGACUCCAACAGCAGUCAAGCUAAGUAGGAUUCGAGAUGGUCCUCACUGAGCACGAGAUCCAGGGGGUGAGGUUGGAUCCAGAUCCAACUCUUCUCACUUUCCUGUAGUAGACAUGAAAGUGUUAAUGGGUUUUUGCUUAUGUCACGUGAUCAUGGUUGGGGUUCACAGGGUCAUGUGUAAGAAUGGGAAUAUAAGUCACCUGUUCACUGAUUAAUGGCAGGGAGAGGGGGUGAGCAGGGACGAUGUAUUUCUUUGUUGACCAUAACUUUUUUACCAUCCAGAAAUACCAGUUAUAAUAUAAUGAAUGCAAUAAAAUGAAAAAGCCUAUCAGAAGUACUUUUGCCUCACCGAUAUUUCAUUUAUGCGUCAUCAAUGCAGUCCCUGUCUUAGUCUCUCAGCGGCUUAGAAAGGACAUAGUAGCCGCUAUAUUUCCCAAGGGUGGUCAUACACUGUGUGAUUUCAGCAAGGUUACCAACUCACACUGUACGAGUAGAUUGCAUGCGAUAAAGCCAAAGCACACAAUUUAUGUGCUCACGCUAUGUGGUCCAAUGGUCGAGCUGUGACUUGUCCCAAAUCACUAUUGAAAGCCUAUAACUUUAAAUAAAGUUAAAGUCCCUGUGAACCGGAAGUUGCAAAGGACUUUUCUCCAGUAUUGUGACGUAUUUCCAAGUGAAAUGAAAUAUUGAAUAGAGUGCAGAUUUUUACUUUAGCGCUCCUCCUCUCCAUAUCUCACUCAUACCAGACAAACGGUUGCAGAAGAGUGGUUUAGGUGUUUUCAAGCCGUCAAACUGACGUUAUCAGCGAAGGAAUGGCAUUCCAGACCGGAAGUAACUUUUCAGAUUUUGAUUAAAGAUAGACAAAUUUUUUCUGUGUUUAACUUGCACGUAUUCAUUGUUUACCACAAGACUAGUAAUAUGCACUAACAAAGUAAAUAAGGUCAAUUUUGAUUUCAUGUGUACUUUAAAGUAAACCAAAAACGCCCUAUUUUUUUGUGUGUGUGUGAAGCUACUAUUCAUAAUGUAUUUUUUCCAGUGUGCUGACUUUUCUUUGCCAAUUUUCUUUGAAUUAAGACUCUUAAGGGAAAAUCGUGAAUUUUAGCAUGAGUUAGUGACUUUUCAAAAAGUUGCUAAAAGUUGCCAAAUAAAAUUUAAAAGUAGAUACAUUUAUUGCUGUGUGCUUUUUGGAAGAAAAAAAAAAUGACUAAGUUGGCACCACUGCUUUUAUGUAUGAUUUAUUUUCUAUGCACUUUCUGUUUAGACAGGAUGUGGACGGGACUUUUAUUUUGGUCUGGUAUUAUGACAUCAUAAGGCUGCACCGCUCUUUGGCUAAACAGAGGUACAAGAAACUCUGAAACAACUGAGAUCAACACUGUUUUCAAGAUGGCGUUUAUUAAAGAAGAGACUGGAGACAUUGCAGAACCAUUCAGAGUGAAACAAACAGACCUGAUGCCGCUUAAAGAAGAGAGUCGAGAACUGAAUGAAAUUAAAGAUAAACAACAUUAUGAAAAACCUGAUUGCAUAAAUGAAAAAAAACUUUGUUCAGAGCCUGAAAAGUCUUUCUCACAAAAAAGAGGUGAGGAGGCGGAAAGAUCUAAAAGAUCUUUGACCUGUCAACAGUGUGGAAAAUCGUUCGUUACAGCACAAAACCUUAGAAUUCACUUGAGAGUUCACACUGGAGAGAAGCCUUUCACAUGUGAUCAGUGUGGAAAAAGUUUCACACAAAACAAUACCUUAAAGGAUCACAUGAGGAUUCACACUGGAGAAAGACCUUUCUUGUUGUGGUGAGUGCGGAAAGGAUUUUGCGCGUAAAAUCUGCCUUGAUGUCCACAUGAGGAUUCACUCAAGAGCGAAACGUUUUAUAUGUCAUCAGUGUGGACAGAGUUUCACUGCUUUGAAACGCCUUAACAAUCACAUGAUAAUUCACUCCAGAAGGAAGCCCUUUAAAUGUUACCAAUGUGAAAAGGUGUUCAAUUUUAAAAAAGGAGCUGAAGAGACACUUGGAGCAGUGUUUUAUGUGCCAUCAGUGUGGAAAGUGUUUAGAACAUGAAGAAUCCCUUAAUAACCACAUGGAACUUCACAAUGCUGGAGAAAAGCCUUUCACUUGUUCUCAGUGUGGAAAGGGUUUCAUAGAUAAAGGAUACUUCAAUGCUCACAUGAGAGUUCACAAAAGAGAGAACGAUUUGAAAUGUGAUCAAUGUGGAGAGAUUUUUACAACAAAUAAACUUCUUAAAUUGCAUAAAAAUACUCACCCCGAAGAGCAGCAAUUCCCUUGUCCUGAGUGUGAAAUGAGUUUCACAUCUAAAGAAAACCUUAAGACUCACAGGAGGAUUCACACUGGACAGAGAGCUUACUCCUCGGAAGAUUUUCUUACAUAAAGGACACUUUAAUUAUAACAUGAAAAUUCAGAAAAGAGGAAACGAUUUAAAGCUCUGGACACUUGCGGGUUGGUUGCGGUGGAUGAGAGAUAAAUCGAUGUGUUGAUUUUAAUAAAGACACUGAACCUGGUAAAGCACAAA